CGGGCACUGCGCUGUGCGUCUGAUACGAAGUAACCCCUGGGGCUAUAACUACCUCUAGGGAGCUGUCCCUGGCCGAGAUCGUGGUCUCUUUCAUACGGCGCCCACCUGACUUGUCAGGUUCCAGAGGGUACAAACGUCAAUACGGCAGAAGUGGUCCCGCA
rnacentral:other from 1 species